rnacentral:rRNA from 1 species
GAUGAACGCUGGCGGCGUGCCUAAUACAUGCAAGUCGAGCGAAUGGAUUAAGAGCUUGCUCUUAUGAAGUUAGCGGCGGACGGGUGAGUAACACGUGGGUAACCUGCCCAUAAGACUGGGAUAACUCCGGGAAACCGGGGCUAAUACCGGAUAACAUUUUGAACCGCAUGGUUCGAAAUUGAAAGGCGGCUUCGGCUGUCACUUAUGGAUGGACUCGCGUCGAAUUAGCUAGUUGGUGAGGUACCGGCUCACCAAGGCAACGAUGCGUAGCCGACCUGAGAGGGUGAUCGGCCACACUGGGACUGAGACACGGCCCAGACUCCUACGGGAGGCAGCAGUAGGGAAUCUUCCGCAAUGGACGAAAGUCUGACGGAGCAACGCCGCGUGAGUGAUGAAGGCUUUCGGGUCGUAAAACUCUGUUGUUAGGGAAGAACAAGUGCUAGUUGAAUAAGCUGGCACCUUGACGGUACCUAACCAGAAAGCCACGGCUAACUACGUGCCAGCAGCCGCGGUAA